CCUACGGGUGGCAGCAGUGAGGAAUAUUGGUCAAUGGCCGAGAGGCUGAACCAGCCAAGUCGCGUGAGGGAAGACGGCCCUACGGGUUGUAAACCUCUUUUGUCGGGGAGCAAAGACAGUCACGUGUGACCCAUUGAGAGUACCCGAAGAAAAAGCAUCGGCUAACUCCGUGCCAGCAGCCGCGGUAAUACGGAGGAUGCGAGCGUUAUCCGGAUUUAUUGGGUUUAAAGGGUGCGUCGGCGGCCUUUUAAGGCAGCGGGGAAAGUCUGUGGCUAAACCCUAGAAGUGCCGUUGAAACUGGGAGGCUUGAGUAGGUUUGAGGCAGGCGGAAUGCGUGGUGUAGCGGUGAAAUGCUUAGAUAUCACGCAGAACCCCGAUUGCGAAGGCAGCCUGCCAAGCCAUGACUGACGCUGAUGCACGAAAGCGUGGGGAUCAAACAGGAUUAGAUACCCGGGUAGUC
rnacentral:rRNA from 1 species